GCCAUGAAAAAAAAGGCGAUUUCCCCGCAGGCCGCUGCCUGGAGGAAAUCGCCUUUUUCAUUU
rnacentral:sRNA from 1 species